rnacentral:rRNA from 1 species
CACAUGCAAGUCGAACGGCAGCACAGCAGUAGCAAUACUGUGGGUGGCGAGUGGCGGACGGGUGAGGAAUACAUCGGAAUCUGCCUUAUCGUGGGGGAUAACGUAGGGAAACUUACGCUAAUACCGCAUACGACCUACGGGUGAAAGCGGGGGAUCGCAAGACCUCGCGCGAUAAGAUGAGCCGAUGUCGGAUUAGCUAGUUGGCGGGGUAAAGGCCCACCAAGGCGACGAUCCGUAGCUGGUCUGAGAGGAUGAUCAGCCACACUGGAACUGAGACACGGUCCAGACUCCUACGGGAGGCAGCAGUGGGGAAUAUUGGACAAUGGGCGCAAGCCUGAUCCAGCCAUGCCGCGUGGGUGAAGAAGGCCUUCGGGUUGUAAAGCCCUUUUGUCCGGAAAGAAAAGCACUGGAUUAAUACUUCGGUGUUCUGACGGUACCGGAAGAAUAAGCACCGGCUAACUUCGUGCCAGCAGCCGCGGUAAUACGAAGGGUGCAAGCGUUACUCGGAAUUACUGGGCGUAAAGCGUGCGUAGGUGGUUCGUUAAGUCUGAUGUGAAAGCCCUGGGCUCAACCUGGGAAUUGCACUGGAUACUGGCGGGCUAGAGUGCGGUAGAGGAUGGCGGAAUUCCCGGUGUAGCAGUGAAAUGCGUAGAGAUCGGGAGGAACAUCUGUGGCGAAGGCGGCCAUCUGGACCAGCACUGACACUGAGGC